CACUAAAUGACUGAAAGCAAGUGUAAGUCUUUUAAACUUAUAAUGGUAGAUAGCAACUACCUUUAGUGA
rnacentral:tRNA from 1 species